rnacentral:rRNA from 1 species
AUUGAACGCUGGCGGCAGGCCUAACACAUGCAAGUCGAACGAGUGGCGGACGGGUGAGUAAUGUCUGGGAAACCGCCUGAUGGAGGGGGAUAACUACUGGAAACGGUAGCCAAUACCGCAUACUAUCAGAUGUGCUCAGAUGGGAUUAGCUUGUUGGUGGGGUAACGGCUCACCAAGGCGACGAUCCCUAGCUGGUCUGAGAGGAUGACCAGCCACACUGGAACUGAGACACGGUCCAUAAUCCUGCGGGAGGCAGCAGUGGGGAAUAUGGCACAAUGGGCGAAAGCCUGAUGCAGCCAUGCCGCGGGUAUGAAGAAGGCCUUCGGGUUGUAGAGUACUUGCAGCGGGGAGGCGUUGACCGCAGAAGAAGCACCGGCUAACUCCGUGCGAGCAGCCGCGGUAAUUC